AUGGAAGGCAGACAGCAUACAGUCAAACGGAUACAGUCCUGUGAUUGCCUUCUGAUCUUCUUUGGGAUGUACAGAGGAGGAGACACAGCAAGGUUUUCGGUGCCUCCUGGACCAGAAAGUGUGGACUUCCAGUGUGGACCAUAGCAACUUACCACAGGAAGAGGAUCUCAGGACGUGCAGCAUGGUCAGGAAUCUCUCCUCAGGAGCUGUUCUC
rnacentral:lncRNA from 1 species